GCCGGGAUUGUCUAGUGGUUAGGGCAUUGCGCUGUGGCACAAUAACGCAGGUUCGAAUUCUGGUCACGGCA